GGAUAUAGCUCAGUUGGUAGAGUGCUUGCUUUGCAUGCACAAGGUUCUGGGUUUGAUCCCCAUCACCA
rnacentral:tRNA from 1 species